GCGGAAGUGGUGGAAUUGGUAGACACGCCACCUUGAGGGGGUGGUGCUUUAGGGCGUGGGGGUUCGAGUCCCCCUUUCCGCACCA
rnacentral:tRNA from 2 species